AUGCGCAAGGAUGGGCUUUCGGAGGCGGAGAUAGCGGUUCGAUAUUGCCUUUACUGGCCUGAUGGCACAAGGAAGAUGUCUUCCAAAGACAAUCCGAAACCUGGGAAUAUCAGCCGAUUGGUUCAAGCUUUACUGGACAAGUACAAUGAAGAUCACCAUCUUUUAGGGGAUCUUGCAUAUGAACUUGAUGGUGUUGUGUGCUUCCAAGAAUUUUAUAUGGGGGAGAUUGGCUGCCUCAGUAUGUACUAUCAUCUCAAUUUUACUACAAAGCCUAAGGAGCUGAUGAUUUUCACGGUGGCAUCAACAAUCUAUUCUUUGCUGAAGUCACACAAAUAA
rnacentral:rRNA from 1 species